AAACUAGGUUCAGAUUGAGCUGUACUGGUAAACUAGGUUCAGAUUUAGCUGUACAUCUAAACUAGGUUCAGAUUUAGCUGUACAGGUAAACUAGGUUCAGAUUGAGCUGUACUGGUAAACUAGGUUCAGAUUUAGCUGUACAUCUAAACUAGGUUCAGAUUUAGCUGUACAGGAAAACUAGGUUCAGAUUGAGCUGUACAGGUAAACUCGGUUCAGAUUUAGCUGUACAGGUAAACUCGGUUCAGAUUUAGCUGUACAGGAAAACUAGGUUCAGAUUUAGCUGUACAGGUAAACUAGGUUCAGAUUUAGCUGUACAGGUAAACUAGGUUCAGAUUUAGCUGUACAGGUAAACUAGGUUCAGAUUUAGCUGUACAGGUAAACUAGGUUCAGAUUUAGCUGUACAGGUAAACUAGGUUCAGAUUGAGCUGUACAGGUAAACUCGGUUCAGAUUGAGCUGUACAGGUAAACUAGAGCUGGUAAAAAAGGAUUAAACCCUAAUAUGAUGUUAAAACAUUGUGGUUUAAGCCCUAGAUUAGGGUUUGUAGAGCCUAAAUAAUUCACAAUGAAAUUAUGUAAAGUAACAUAAAAAAUGAUAGGUUAGAAAAACAUAAUAUUGCCAGGACGAAUCCAUGAGGACAAGAGUUAGGUUCAAUCAGGUAAGAGUUAACCUAGCUUGUAGAUAAAGGUGUAUUAUUACUCUUAAAAAUGUAUUUGUAAAAAUGUAUUUUGUUCUUUUAUUUUGUUGUACAGUUAUAUUUUUUAAAUAUUUUUUUUCUUAUUUUUAUUUUAUUUUACAUAAAUGAUUUAAAUAUUUUGUUAUCUCUAAAUUAAAUAUAAUUUAAAAUCUUCAAUAAUUAAUUUUGAAAGAUAGGGGUUGAAAUAUGGAUGUUAAACAGCUGUACUUUAAGACAUUAUUGCGUUAAUAACAACCAUUUUCAAAUGUGAGUUAGUAUCAUGUUAUGGGCAAAGGACAUAACAUAUCAUAUUAUGUUAAAUGCCAGUUAUGGGGAUAAAUACCUGCCCAAAUUAUUAUGAAUAUAACCAUAUAUUUGUUCUUGUGUUUUGGCACAUAUCUAUCUUCAUAACUUGAGGAAAGAUGUCAGUUGUGCAGAAAAUUUGCAGGAAAUGUGCAGGAAAUGCAGGAUAUGCAGAUGAGGAUGAGGGUUUUGUUAGUCUUCCAGGUACAGUUUGCUCUUCAUUGACAUCCUCCUGCAGGGUCAUACUACGGGACAGACAGUAUUGUACUGUAGUAGAGGUCUUAGUGAUGGAUAGAGCAGGGGGAGAGAGAGAGAGAGAAAAGAUACAGAGACAUUUGUAAAACGGUGCAGAUGGAUUUUCCCCCUCCUUCAUAAUUAGAAGUGUUUCAUUUAUUGUUAUAUAAUUUAAUCUUUAUAAUAGCUAGCGACCUCCUGUGGCCAAAAUACGGUACUGGUUCUGGUCUUGCCUCUCUACUUGGGAGUGAUAGGCAGAAUUAGAAAGAAGCUAAUGUAUUCUCUCUCUUCCUCGUCUCUCCUGUUCCUCUCGUCCAUGUUCCGAUAGAAGUAAACUGUUCCUCAUUCUGUAUUCCGUAUCACCGUGGCACCACUACUGUUCUCCGUGCCCAUAUGACGUGUGUAACACGUCCGUGUCCAUGCUAUAUCAACGUGCUCUGGAUGUUAAUAACAAAGUGCUC
ensembl:lncRNA